GAUGAACGCUGGCGGCGUGCCUAAUACAUGCAAGUCGAGCGAACAGACGAGGAUCUUGCUCCUCUGACGUUAGCGGCGGACGGGUGAGUAACACGUGGAUAACCUACCUAUAAGACUGGGAUAACAUCGGGAAACCGGAGCUAAUACCGGAUAAUAUAUUGAACCGCAUGGUUCAAUAGUGAAAGACGGUUUUGCUGUCACUUAUAGAUGGAUCCGCGCCGCAUUAGCUAGUUGGUAAGGUAACGGCUUACCAAGGCAACGAUGCGUAGCCGACCUGAGAGGGUGAUCGGCCACACUGGAACUGAGACACGGUCCAGACUCCUACGGGAGGCAGCAGUAGGGAAUCUUCCGCAAUGGGCGAAAGCCUGACGGAGCAACGCCGCGUGAGUGAUGAAGGUCUUCGGAUCGUAAAACUCUGUUAUUAGGGAAGAACAAAUGUGUAAGUAACUAUGCACGUCUUGACGGUACCUAAUCAGAAAGCCACGGCUAACUACGUG
rnacentral:rRNA from 1 species